ACGGAAGGCAGCAGUGGGGAAUAUUGGACAAUGGGGGGAACCCUGAUCCAGCCAUGCCGCGUGUGUGAAGAAGGCCUUUUGGUUGUAAAGCACUUUAAGCGAGGAGGAGGCUUACCUGGUUAAUACCUGGGAUAAGUGGACGUUACUCGCAGAAUAAGCACCGGCUAACUCUGUGCCAGCAGCCGCGGUAAUACAGAGGGUGCAAGCGUUAAUCGGAUUUACUGGGCGUAAAGCGCGCGUAGGUGGCUAAUUAAGUCAAAUGUGAAAUCCCCGAGCUUAACUUGGGAAUUGCAUUCGAUACUGGUUAGCUAGAGUAUGGGAGAGGAUGGUAGAAUUCCAGGUGUAGCGGUGAAAUGCGUAGAGAUCUGGAGGAAUACCGAUGGCGAAGGCAGCCAUCUGGCCUAAUACUGACACUGAGGUGCGAAAGCAUGGGGAGCAAACAGGAUUAGAUACCCUGGUA
rnacentral:rRNA from 1 species